GAUGAACGCUGGCGGCGUGCUUAAUACAUGCAAGUCGAGCGAACAGAUGAGGAGCUUGCUCCUCUGACGUUAGCGGCGGACGGGUGAGUAACACGUGGAUAACCUACCUAUAAGACUGGGAUAACUUCGGGAAACCGGAGCUAAUACCGGAUAAUAUAUUGAGCCGCAUGGUUCAAUAGUGAAAGACGGUUUUGCUGUCACUUAUAGAUGGAUCCGCGCCGCAUUAGCUAGUUGGUAAGGUAACGGCUUACCAAGGCAACGAUGCGUAGCCGACCUGAGAGGGUGAUCGGCCACACUGGAACUGAGACACGGUCCAGACUCCUACGGGAGGCAGCAGUAGGGAAUCUUCCGCAAUGGGCGAAAGCCUGACGGAGCAACGCCGCGUGAGUGAUGAAGGUCUUCGGAUCGUAAAACUCUGUUAUUAGGGAAGAACAAAUGUGUAAGUAACUAUGCACGUCUUGACGGUACCUAAUCAGAAAGCCACGGCUAACUACGUG
rnacentral:rRNA from 1 species